CCUACGGGUGGCAGCAGUGGGGAAUAUUGCACAAUGGGGGGAACUCUGAUGCAGCAAUGCCGCGUGGGUGAAGAAGCACUCCGGUGCGUAAAGCCCUGUCAGCAGGGAAGAAAAUGACCAUACCUGACCAAGAAGCCCCGGCUAACUACGUGCCAGCCGCCGCGGUAAUACGUAGGGGACCAGCGUUAUCCGGGUUUAUUGGGUGUAAAGGGAGCGCAGGCGGUAUAGCAAGUCAGAUGUGAAAACCCAGGGCCCAACCCAGGGACUGCAUCUAAAAAUACUAUACUGGAGUGCAGGAGAGGUAAGUGGAAUUCCUAGUGUAGCGGUGAAAUGCGUAGAUAUUAGGAGGAACACCAGUGGCGAAGGCGGCUUACUGGACUGUAACUGACGUUGAGGCACGAAAGCGUGGGGAGCAAACAGGAUUAGAUACCCGAGUAGUC
rnacentral:rRNA from 1 species